ACCUCCAAGAGCCAAGUCUCCCUGUCACUGAGCAGCGUGACAACUGAGGAUAUGGCCCUGUACUACUGUGCAAGAGACACAGUGAGGGGAAGUCAGUGUGAGCCCAGACAAAAACCUCCCUGCAUAGGGGCCCGUGCCCACCAGGGGGCGCACAGGUCUCACUACGCGGCAGCACCCCGGAGCAGGUGCAGAAGCAGCCUUGGGCGGUGGGAGGCCUGGGGGGAUUUUCCUAGAGAUUCUCUUUCCUCCUCCUGCCCAGGAGCUGCACCAAGGCAAGGGCGCCCAGGGGCUGGGCUGGCUCUCCUACAGCCUGCGCUUUGGGGACAGUGACUGGUGAGUGAGCCCUGGAACCCUGGACCAGCUGGGAGGGGCUCGUAGGCUGAAGGUUGGGCCCACCCGGGAGAAGGUGCCCCCUAGGCCUCCCACCCCCCAGAGCCGCGCCUUCCUGACCAGCCGGCCUCAGUGCCUCCCUGGUG
rnacentral:lncRNA from 1 species